rfam:Trichobilharzia regenti genome assembly, scaffold: TRE_scaffold0046904
GUACUGGUGAAGAGUCCCUAACUGGGACGAAACAGCUGUCCAGUAC